rnacentral:tRNA from 4 species
CGGGCUGUAGCGCAGUCUGGUAGCGCACCUGCCUGGGGGGCAGGGGGUCGUGGGUUCGAAUCCCGCCAGCCCGACCA